ensembl:lncRNA
UAUAUAUAUAUAUGUAUAUAGCAAUCAUUAAAAUAAUAGAUUUUCAAUAAUUGUUUUGAAAAUAUUAUCUGUGCAUUUUGCCUGCUAAUUCUUUAUUAAACUUUUUUUCUGUUGAUUUUGGGAUGAAAUAUGGUGUUUUAGACAUGUUUUAUGACAUUAAUUAAUUUCUGAAUGCAGUAGCUCAUUACAGGCCUGGAAAUACGUUUAUGACUGUAAUACAACAUUUGCAAUACUUUCAGCCGUUCUGGGGCAGUUUUCACUGUCUCUCGGCAGUGGUGCUCAUGGAUUUCAGUAACAGUGUCACUGCAGUAUUUGAGCAUGAGCUCGGUCUUCCUGAAACCAGACGGCUGCUGUCUUCGUCCUGUGACUCCUCAGGUUCACAUGAUGUUGUUAAUCCUGCUCCUCUUCUAAAUCCAGCUCAGACCAUCAGAUGUCUCGGAAGCUUUGAAACUGUGGAGACUGACAGCUGGCUUUCUCCUUCAGCACAAUGAUCAUGUGGUUUGCUGCUUAUGACUGAAAGUUUGUUGGUUGUAUUUCAAUGCAUUGAAGUGUUGACGGCUCUGCUGUUGGAUCAGUAUUUCCCGUCGGGUCGCUCAUAAUCACUGCUGUUCACCGGCCUAAUGUAAAGGACCUCCGUUUCUUUUUCCAUUUUCUUUGCAAAUUCUUUCAUUUUCAAUUUCUGUCUUUUUUAAUCUAUGCUUUAUGUUGUGCACGCAUUUUAAAAAUAUCAGUAUCUUAAUGCAGUUUUGGGUUUUUCGGGUUGCUUUCACUUUGAAAGUCGAUUCAAUAAAAUUCUUUUUGUUGUUUUUCCAAAGUGGUGUUUUCUCCUCUUUGUUGUCUUUUGAUGGUUAUGAAAAAAAUCUACUAUGGAAGCUUUCUUUCACCAUGGGGAAAAAUAAAAAAAUAAAAAUAAAGAGGCAAUUUCAACAUUUUUAUCACAGUUCAGUUUUUUUUCUAGAUGCAAACAGAAUUGUGAGAUAUAAAGUUGCAACUGCAAUAUAAACUCAGAAUGCUGAGGAAAAUAGAAUUUUGAGGUGUAAACUCAAACUUUGAGGAGAU